ensembl:lncRNA
CGGCCCCGCUCCGCGGCCGCCAAACUUGAGGGGGAAAGGUCCUGGCUGGAGGCGAGCCCUUCCUCCCGCGGGGCUGACACGGGCCCUCGCCUUAACACCUUACUUGAGUCGUCUUUCUGAACCAAGCGCAGAGCUCCGAGCUUGAUUUUUUCGUUGCCUUUUGUCCUUGUGCCCCGAACUGGCCCGUUUCAGACAGAACUCCUACUGACUGCCCCGACAGCUUCCCCAGAACGGAGCCCAAAUUCUGAACCUUUUCCACCUUCCCCACCUUGCAUACUGGGGAUACACAGAUCCGAAAAUAAUGUUUGCAGAACCGUGAGAGCUCCAAGGGGCGUCCCACAUCCCUCCCCUUAGACCACGUUAAAGUGACCCUUGAGCUUUACAGUUUGUGGAUGCCUACAAACCCUUGGAACCAGGCACCUUUUAAUACGGAAGAAACGAGGGUGGAACUUCCUCCAGGAAAACUUGGAUAUGGAAGAAAACAAGGAAUAGAGACAGACAAUGGUUGGAGUGAUGGGAUUGCAGCUCUAGUCUGUUGUACAGGCUAGAGGAAAAACAGAAGUUGACAGAGAGAAAAAUAAGUUAAAAAAUCCACAAGAAAUAAUUGCAGAUUUAACACCUUAAGAAGCAGAUCUUGAGAUCCUGGCACAAGCAUUAGACUGGUAGGUGACCCAAGGGGAGGAAAAAAGUGAAAUUGGAUAAUGAUGAGAUGCAGGGGAAAGUUCAACUUCUGCUUUUCUGAUGACCAAGACACAAAUGAAAACCCAGUUUUGAUUAAAAGGUGCUGUCAGAUUUCACAGCAUCCAGUGUGAAUAUAGUGAAGCAGGUGGAAUAACAGCAUGGUUUGCUAAAAUCAGAUAUUUAAGUGUAUGUAUGAUGGAGUUAUAGAUAAUAACUGUGAAAAUACUUAACCUUUCCAUGCUAAUGCAUAAAUCCUAAAACAGAUGACAAUAAUUUGACAUAAAAUAAUUAGUCCCUUGAAACUACCUGGUGGGAACUGCAUCUGAGCUAAGUUUCCCUUCAGGAUAUCACUCCUACAGCUGACACCAGGAGUAUGAAACACUUGCUGGAAUUACAAAGGGAAGAAGGAGAGGGGAACAGGAGUUAGAAAAAAAUGUGGCAGGCAGGCCUAAAGUAUAAUUAGGCAAAAUCUUGCGAAGCCCAAAGCAUGACCUUUCAAAAACUUUUUAAGCUAAAGGUGAAUGGCCUUGCACUGACCUCCCCCUCAAAUUACUUCUAAGAAGCAACGGCAUAUAAACACUUUCAAUGGUAAACCCUUUUUUUUUUUGGAAAAAAAGAAAAGAUCCUAAAAAUAAGUUUUAAGGGUUAAAAACCCAAGGUUGUCACGAAGAGGCGCAGCUGCGAUCUUUCAUCUGUACACAAGAAGCUAAGACCCUAAAGUCAACCUUCAAAAGCAAGGGAGGCAUUUUGUUAUCAAGAUUAUUUGCAUAGUACCUCCCUAUAGCGAACGUGACAGCUCAGAUGACAUCAUCCUAGUGAAUUAUUAUAGCUAAGGGUCAGAUAUUUCUGAUACAAUUGUGCUAUGUU